rnacentral:rRNA from 1 species
GCCUAAGGCAGGACUGGUGACUGGGGUGAAGUCGUAACAAGGUAGCCGUACCGGAAGGUGUGGCUGGAUCACCUCCUUUUUAGGGAGA